CCUACGGGAGGCAGCAGUAAGGAAUAUUGGUCAAUGGACGAAAGUCUGAACCAGCCAUGCCGCGUGAAGGAUUAAGGCCCUCUGGGUUGUAAACUUCUUUUAUCUGGGACGAAAAAAGGGUAUUCUUACUCACUUGACGGUACCAGAGGAAUAAGCACCGGCUAACUCCGUGCCAGCAGCCGCGGUAAUACGGAGGGUGCAAGCGUUAUCCGGAUUUACUGGGUUUAAAGGGUGCGUAGGUGGGUUUGUAAGUCAGUGGUGAAAUCUCCGAGCUUAACUCGGAAACUGCCAUUGAUACUAUAGAUCUUGAAUUAUCUGGAGGUAAGCGGAAUAUGUCAUGUAGCGGUGAAAUGCUUAGAUAUGACAUAGAACACCAAUUGCGAAGGCAGCUUACUACGGAUAUAUUGACACUGAGGCACGAAAGCGUGGGGAUCAAACAGGAUUAGAUACCCUGGUAGUCCACGCCCUAAACGAUGGAUACUCGACAUCAGCGAUACACUGUUGGUGUCUGAGCGAAAGCAUUAAGUAUCCCACCUGGAAGUACGAUCGCAAGAUUGAAACUCAAAANAGAAGUUAGACGCGUGAGAGUAGACCGACGGACGACGACGAGGGGAGGAGG
rnacentral:rRNA from 1 species